CCUUGCCUCAACGCAGGCAAUUUGGCUUAUGCGUAUUUCCUUGUAUGAAAACUACACACAUGCGGCAUUUCGGUAUUCAGCGACGCAUAUAAGGAACAUUGUAUACCACUCGAAAUUUCGAGUCCGCACCCUUCUACCCCCGUAACGUUCGUCAUGAAGAACUAUAUUGCUAUAGUCAUUACCUCACUUCUUGGUGUGGGUCAUGGAAGCUACGCGCCCUGCAUUACGAUCACCUUGCCGGACUUCAUUACAGCUGGCAUGACGGACUGCUACGAUCAGCAGCCUCUUGACAUCUGCACGCCAUUCAACGUAA